UUACACCAGUUCCCAUACAAUCACUGAAGUUAAGCAAGGUUGAGCCUGGUCAGUAGCUAGAUGGGUGACUACUUCGGGAUACCAGGUGCUGUAA